GGGGCCAUGGCUCAGCUGGGAGAGCGCCUCCCUUGCACGGAGGAGGUCGUCGGUUCGAAUCCGACUGGCUCCACCA
rnacentral:tRNA from 1 species